UACGUAGGUGGCAAGCGUUGUCCGGAAUUAUUGGGCGUAAAGCGCGCGCAGGCGGUUUCUUAAGUCUGAUGUGAAAGCCCACGGCUCAACCGUGGAGGGUCAUUGGAAACUGGGAAACUUGAGUGCAGAAGAGAAGAGCGGAAUUCCACGUGUAGCGGUGAAAUGCGUAGAGAUGUGGGGAACACCAGUGGCGAAGGCGGCUCUUUGGUCUGUAACUGACGCUGAGGCGCGAAAGCGUGGGGAGCGAACAGG
rnacentral:rRNA from 1 species